rnacentral:rRNA from 1 species
CCUACGGGAGGCAGCAGUGGGGGAUAUUGCACAAUGGGGGGAACCCUGAUGCAGCGACGCCGCGUGGGUGAAGAAGCGCCUCGGCGCGUAAAGCUCUGUCAGCAGGGAAGUAAAUGACGGUACCUGAAGAAGAAGCCCCGGCUAACUACGUGCCAGCAGCCGCGGUAAUACGUAGGGGGCAAGCGUUAUCCGGAUUUACUGGGUGUAAAGGGGGCGCAGACGGCGAUGCAAGCCAGGAGUGAAAGCGCGGGGCCCAACCCCGGAACUGCGUUUGGAACUGGGUGGCGAGAGUGCAGGAGGGGCAGGCGGAAUGCCUGGUGUAGCGGUGAAAUGCGUAGAGAUCAGGAGGAACACCGGUGGCGAAGGCGGCCUGCUGGACUGCAACUGACGUUGAGGCCCGAAAGCGUGGGGAGCAAACAGGAUUAGAUACCCGUGUAGUC